rnacentral:rRNA from 1 species
UACGAAGGGGGCUAGCGUUGCUCGGAAUCACUGGGCGUAAAGGGUGCGUAGGCGGUCCGUUAAGUCCGGGGAUGAAAGCCCACUGCUCAACAGUGGAACUGCCCUGGAAACUGGCGGACUUGAGUACAGACGAGGUUGGCGGAAUGGAUGCUGUAGCGGUGAAAUGCAUAGAUAGCAUCCAGAACCCCGAUUGCGAAGGCAGCUGACUAGGCUGUAACUGACGGCUGAGGCACGGAAAGCGUGGGGAGCGAACAGG